AUUGAACGCUGGCGGCAUGCUUUACACAUGCAAGUCGGACGGCAGCACAGAGAAGCUUGCUUCUUGGGUGCCGAGUGGCGAACGGGUGAGUAAUAUAUCGGAACGUACCGAGUAAUGGGGGAUAACUAAUCGAAAGAUUAGCUAAUACCGCAUAUUCUCUGAGGAGGAAAGCAGGGGACCUUCGGGCCUUGCGUUAUUCGAGCGGCCGAUAUCUGAUUAGCUAGUUGGUGGGGUAAAGGCCUACCAAGGCGACGAUCAGUAGCGGGUCUGAGAGGAUGAUCCGCCACACUGGGACUGAGACACGGCCCAGACUCCUACGGGAGGCAGCAGUGGGGAAUUUUGGACAAUGGGCGCAAGCCUGAUCCAGCCAUGCCGCGUGUCUGAAGAAGGCCUUCGGGUUGUAAAGGACUUUUGUCAGGGAAGAAAAGGCUGUUGCUAAUACCGACAGCUGAUGACGGUACCUGAAGAAUAAGCACCGGCUAACUACGUG
rnacentral:rRNA from 1 species